CCACAGAACUUUCCAGAGAUGGUUGGUGCCUUCGGGAACUGUGAGACAGGUGCUGCAUGGCUGUCGUCAGCUCGUGUUGUGAAAUGUUGGGUUAAGUCCCGCAACGAGCGCAACCCUUAUCCUUUGUUGCCAGCGGUCCGGCCGGGAACUCAAAGGAGACUGCCAGUGAUAAACUGGAGGAAGGUGGGGAUGACGUCAAGUCAU
rnacentral:rRNA from 1 species